CUUGUCAGUGAUGUUUUCCCAUUGUUGUUCGAGUUUGACUGACCAUGAGACUACUUACAUGCACUACCAUCUGAGACACU